AUUGAACGCGGGCGGCAUGCUUUACACAUGCAAGUCGGACGGCAGCACAGAGAAGCUUGCUUCUUGGGUGGCGAGUGGCGAACGGGUGAGUAAUAUAUCGGAACGUACCGAGCAGUGGGGGAUAACUAAUCGAAAGAUUAGCUAAUACCGCAUAUUUUCUGAGGAAGAAAGCAGGGGACCAUUUGGCCUUGCGCUGUUUGAGCGGCCGAUAUCUGAUUAGCUAGUUGGUGGGGUAAAGGCCUACCAAGGCGACGAUCAGUAGCGGGUCUGAGAGGAUGAUCCGCCACACUGGGACUGAGACACGGCCCAGACUCCUACGGGAGGCAGCAGUGGGGAAUUUUGGACAAUGGGCGCAAGCCUGAUCCAGCCAUGCCGCGUGUCUGAAGAAGGCCUUCGGGUUGUAAAGGACUUUGUCAGGGAAGAAAAGGACAGGGUUAAUACCCCUGUCUGAUGACG
rnacentral:rRNA from 1 species